rnacentral:snoRNA from 1 species
AUAACAAUUUGUGAUGCUUUAGGGAGCCUAUUGUUUGAUGGUUUAUAGGAGCCAGAUUUGUCUUUUUGACUAAUUUUCAACCUAUUCUUACUUCCAAAACUGUUGCAAUGGCUCUCGUUUUUGUUAAAUUUUUCUCUUUUCUCUUCUUUGGCAUAGUUUAUUUUUAAUAAAUUAUUUCAGGGUGAGAUAGAGAAAGAAUAAUGAGUAUCGUAGAUAAAUCUUCGGUUCCGAAUAGUGUAACUGUUGGUGCUGAGGUAAUCCAUCUUUAAAACCAUCGCCGUUAGAGGUUGCUUCUGAUAUUUUCGGUUAAGCGACCCAUGAAAAUGGUGAUGACCUGAGGUAUGGAACAUCU